rnacentral:pre_miRNA from 1 species
AUAUUAAUCACUUGGGGAGCUUAUUAAAAUACAGAUUCUGAUUCAGUAGAUCUGGGGUGGGGCCUGACAUUUUGCACUUCUAACAAGCUCCCAGGUGAUGCCUGG